GGCCGCGGGAAUUCGAUUCAGGCCUAACACAUGCAAGUCGAACGGCAGCACGGAGCUUGCUCUGGUGGCGAGUGGCGAACGGGUGAGUAAUAUAUCGGAACGUACCCUGGAGUGGGGGAUAACGUAGCGAAAGUUACGCUAAUACCGCAUACGAUCUAAGGAUGAAAGUGGGGGAUCGCAAGACCUCAUGCUCGUGGAGCGGCCGAUAUCUGAUUAGCUAGUUGGUAGGGUAAAAGCCUACCAAGGCAUCGAUCAGUAGCUGGUCUGAGAGGACGACCAGCCACACUGGAACUGAGACACGGUCCAGACUCCUACGGGAGGCAGCAGUGGGGAAUUUUGGACAAUGGGCGAAAGCCUGAUCCUUAAAGGCCGCGUGAGUGAAGAAGCCCUUCGGGUU
rnacentral:rRNA from 1 species